AACGAACGCUGGCGGCAGGCUUAACACAUGCAAGUCGAACGGGUGUAGCAAUACAUCAGUGGCAGACGGGUGAGUAACACGUGGGAACCUUCCUAGGGGUACGGAACAACUCAGGGAAACUUGAGCUAAUACCGUAUACGUCCGUGAGGAGAAAGAUUUAUCGCCCUUAGACGGGCCCGCGUCGGAUUAGCUAGUUGGUGGGGUAACGGCCUACCAAGGCGACGAUCCGUAGCUGAUCUUAGAGGAUGAUCAGCCACACUGGGACUGAGACACGGCCCAGACUCCUACGGGAGGCAGCAGUGGGGAAUCUUGGACAAUGGGCGCAAGCCUGAUCCAGCCAUGCCGCGUGAGUGAAGAAGGUCUUCGGAUUGUAAAGCUCUUUUGCCAGGGACGAUAAUGACGGUACCUGGAGAAUAAGCCCCGGCAAACUUCGUGCCAGCAGCCGCCGUAAUAC
rnacentral:rRNA from 1 species